AUAGUUGAAAGAGUUAUAAUUCAUCCUUCAUUAUAGAUCCAAAAAUACCAUAAAAUCUCUAAAAAAAAACUAAAAGUAGUUUCAUAUGACACUUUAAAAACAAAAUACAUAACAAAAAUCCUAAAUGUUGCUAGCUCUAGAUAAUCCUCUUGUACACAAAGGUGAAUCAGACAUACUUGCAUCAUCAUUUGCCUGAAAUAAUAAACAUUGAUAAUUAACACGUCAUUAUAUACACUUGGUUCAUAUAUAUUUUAUGAUUAUGAUUAUGAUUAUUCCCCAGGCUUUUCCAAAUCAAAUUACUAUAUUUACCACAAAUCAACAGCAAGAUAGGACCACUAUAACACAUGUUUGGUAAUCAUGUCUACACCCUCAACAUCUUUAUAAUCAGAUCCUAGAAAUGAAGAAUAAGAAAACUAAACAAAUAAGAGCAUCAAAACAUGUCUCUUAUGAAAUGGAAGAAUGUGACUACCUCCCCAACUCGUAUGGUGAUAACAUGAGGUGAAAAAGCUUGUCCUGCAGAAUUGUUCAUCCAUUCACCUAGAAAGAGAGAAACAAAAAAGCUAGGAGUACAUGCACUUCAUUAUAUUGGUUGUUACUACUGUGAGUUACUAUCAAAACAAUAAAAAAUGUAAUUGCACCAUAAAGGGAAGGGAAAAUGUGAAAAUCUAUCUAAUUUUGCAAGGUUUCUAAACCAGUUUUUUGGGUGAAUUUAAACAAUAACAAGUAACAUAAAACACAACAAUACCAAAUAACCAUAUAAUAUAGGCAUUUAACAAAUUUGGCUCCCCCAAUUUCUCAACAACAAUUCUAACUCCUUAAGUCCUAACUUAUUCAUCUUCACUACAGUGACCCCGGAUCCAUAAUAUAAUAGAUAAACACAAUGGAGUAACCAACAACAAAUGAUAAUUCUCAAGGAGAAAUAUAUAUAUAUAUAUACAUAGAGAGGUUGGUUGUUGCUUCCUUCCACUUCCAGGAGUGGUUGUUGAAGCAGGGGUGGACUUAACAUUGGCAGACAUUGGAGAGAGUCUCAAGGAAACGGGACUAUCAUUGGGACCUUAUUUUCAUGGCCUCCCUCUUCUCUUCUUCACAAACUCCCCUGAAGAAGGUACCACUCCAGAAGGGGUACCAAUGCUAAGGCCAUGACUAAAAGUAUCAUGUUGAGGAAGCUAUACUGAAAAUGGAGAAUCAGAAGAACCAUCUCUCACAUUCAACAAAUUUCCCUCCCAUCCAUGCAUUUACGAUAAAAAAUUUGAUUUUUGAUAAAUAUAGUAACUUUAUGGCAUCUAUUAAAAAGAGUAAUUUGUCCAAGUCAGUUAAUUAGCCAUAACAAUCAAACAUUCACUAUAAAAAGAGUAACGGUAUUACAGGAAAAUAGAAUGAAAAAUAUGGCCAUAUUCCUAUUUCUCUCUUUCUUUAUUCGGGGUGUUGUCCAUUGCUAAGUAAAAGUAUAGUAGAGUUGAAAACCUCCGUAAGUUAAAUAAAACCCUUCACUAUAUAUCUAGUUAAUUGUCUGGCCCAUAUCAUUUAAUUUAUUUGGGGAGGUUUGAGUAACCUCCACACAAAAAACUCUAAAAAAUGCAAAAUUGUUGUAGUGAAUAAAGAAAGAGAGAAAUUAAGAAACACUGCAAAAAAAUAGUGAAAGCAAAACAAUAUCACAAAACAAAACAAAAAAGAGUAAUACAAGAUAGUGAUUGUGCUAUGAAGAUGCAAGGGUGAGGAGAUGAAUCAAGGUGAAUGAAAUUGUUCUUUCAUAAGGGAGUCGAGAGGGAGGAAAAUGAGUUAUAGGGAGUUAUGAAGGUAGGGGGUGAUAGAGAGCGAG
rnacentral:lncRNA from 1 species